CCUACGGGAGGCAGCAGUGAGGAAUAUUGGUCAAUGGGCGCAAGCCUGAUCCAGCCACGUAGCGUGAAGGAUGACUGACCUACGGGUUUUAAACUUCAUUUAUAAAGGAAUAAAGUGAGGUACGUGUGCCUUUUUGUCUGUCCUUUAUGAUUAAGGAUCGGCUAACUCCGUGCAAGCGGCCGCGGUAAUACGGAGGAACCGAGCGUUAUCCGGUUUUAUAGGGUUUAAGGGGUGGGUAGGCGGAUCAUUAAGCCCGUGGUAAAAUUGGGGGGUUAAACCCCUUCCCGCCAUUGAAACUGGGGCGCUUGAGUGGAAGAGAAGUAAGCGGAAUUCGUGGUGUAGGGGUGAAAUGCAUAGAGAUCACGCGGAACCCUGAUUGCGAAGGCAGCAUGCCGGCAUCCGACUGACGCUGAAGCACGAAAGCGUGGGGAGCGAACAGGAUUAGAUACCCUGGUAGUC
rnacentral:rRNA from 1 species